AGGGGAAGACUCACAUAGAGGCAGCAGUAGCGAAUCUUGUGCAAUAAACGAAAGUAUGACACAGAGAGGACACAUUUAAUUGAGCCCGUCAAAUUAAGUGCCAGCCGACGCGGUUAAACUUAAGGGCUGGUCUUUAUAAGUAAAAAGGCGUAAAGGAUGUGUAGGCCAAGAAACGACCCAAGUAGGUAAAUGGAAUUUUUCUGGAGCGGUAGAAUGUGAGGAUAGAAAAUAGAACCCCUAAGGUAAAAACUAUUUACCACAAGGUAGGCUGAAACAUGAGAGUGUGGGGAGCAAACAGGAUUAGAGACCCUGGUAGUCCACACUGUGAACUUUGAAGAUGAUGCUUAGCAGACCCGAAAGGUAAAAUCUUCCGCCUGAGUAGUACGAUCGCAAGAUUAAAAUUCAAAAACUUUGGCUGUUCACUAUUUCGAUUAGAGGAGCGUGUAGUUUAAUUCGAUGGUCCGCGUGUUACCUUACCCCAACUUGAAUCUGUGACCGGUAUUGCAUGGCCGUCGUAAGUUCGUGUAUUAAGCUAGAAGGGACCCAACCCGGGCAUUUGCCCGGAGGAAGUCAGGUCUUAUGAUCCGAAUGUUGGGGGAUUUUAUGCGCUACAUUUUCUUAUAUAAUGGGAAACCUGGAAGGUGAGCCUCUAAAGUAAGAGUUCGGAAGGUCGCUGUAAGACGACUGGAAGUUGGAUUUAAUAGUAAUCGGAAAGUAGGGCGUUCCGGUGAAUUGGUACAAGUGUUAGCACAAAUUGCCCGUCACCUUUACCUAGAAUGGUUAUUCGGACGUCUUCGGUGAUUACGAAUGCCUACGAGGUAAAGCAAGUCGUAACAU
rnacentral:rRNA from 1 species